rnacentral:rRNA from 1 species
UACAGAGGGUGCGAGCGUUAAUCGGAAUUACUGGGCGUAAAGCGCGCGUAGGCGGCUUUGCAAGUCGGGUGUGAAAUCCCCAGGCUUAACCUGGGAACUGCAUUCGAGACUGCAUUGCUAGAGUAUGGGAGAGGGAAGUGGAAUUUCCGGUGUAGCGGUGAAAUGCGUAGAUAUCGGAAGGAACAUCAGUGCGAAAGCGACUUCCUGGACCAAUACUGACGCUCAUGUGCGAAAGCGUGGGGAGCAAAACAGG